rnacentral:rRNA from 1 species
UGAACGCUGGCGGCAGGCCUAACACCUAUAAAUCGAACGGAGUUAUAUUGUAGCUUGCUAUGGUAUCCCUUAAUGGCAGACGGGUGAGUAAUGUAUAGGAAUCUACCUAGUAGUACGGAAUAAUUGUUGGAAACGGCAACNAAUACCGUAUACGCCCUACGGGGGAAAAAUUUAUUGCUAUUAGAUGAGCCUAUAUUAGAUUAGCUAGUUGGUGGAGUAAUAGCCUACCAAGGCAAUGAUCUAUAGCUGAUCUGAGAGGAUGAUCAGCCACACUGGAACUGAGAUACGGUCCAGACUCCUACGGGAGGCAGCAGUGGGGAAUAUUGGACAAUGGGCGAAAGCCUGAUCCAGCCAUGCCGCAUGAGUGAAGAAGGCCUUUGGGUUGUAAAGCUCUUUUAGUGAGGAAGAUAAUGACGGUACUCACAGAAGAAGUCCUGGCUAACUCCGUGCCAGCAGCCGCGGUAAUACGGAGAGGGCUAGCGUUAUUCGGAAUUAUUGGGCGUAAAGGGCGCGUAGGCGGAUUAGUAAGUUAAAAGUGAAAUCCCAAGGCUCAACCUUGGAAUUGCUUUUAAAACUGCUAAUCUAGAGAUUGAAAGAGGAUAGAGGAAUUCCUAGUGUAGAGGUGAAAUUCGUAAAUAUUAGGAGGAACACCAGUGGCGAAGGCGUCUAUCUGGUUCAAAUCUGACGCUGAGGCGCGAAGGCGUGGGGAGCAAACAGGAUUAGAUACCCUGGUAAUCCACGCUGUUAACGAUGAAUGUUAAAUAU